rnacentral:rRNA from 1 species
GAUGAACGCUGGCGGCGUGCCUAAUACAUGCAAGUCGAGCGAACAGACGAGGAGCUUGCUCCUCUGACGUUAGCGGCGGACGGGUGAGUAACACGUGGAUAACCUACCUAUAAGACUGGGAUAACUUCGGGAAACCGGAGCUAAUACCGGAUAAUAUAUUGAACCGCAUGGUUCAAUAGUGAAAGACGGUUUUGCUGUCACUUAUAGAUGGAUCCGCGCCGCAUUAGCUAGUUGGUAAGGUAACGGCUUACCAAGGCGACGAUGCGUAGCCGACCUGAGAGGGUGAUCGGCCACACUGGAACUGAGACACGGUCCAGACUCCUACGGGAGGCAGCAGUAGGGAAUCUUACGCAAUGGGCGAAAGCCUGACGGAGCAACGCCGCGUGAGUGAUGAAGGUCUUCGGAUCGUAAAACUCUGUUAUUAGGGAAGAACAAAUGUGUAAGUAAAUAUGCACGUCUUGACGGUACCUAAUCAGAAAGCCACGGCUAACUACGUG